UAACUAUUAAGUGCUUGCAGUUUGACUCACACCCGGGCCCGUUUAACUGGAAUAAAAUGUUCUUCAUGGACAGGGAUGUCUUAAAGUGCUUAAUCAAAAAUGUGAACUUAAUUACCCGGGGUCGCCUAUCGUAAGGGGGACAGCCAAUCCGAAUCGAUGUCACGGUCGAGUUAUACUCACGUAGCGAAACAUUUCAUGCAGUUAACAAUUUGGCGCGAGAACUAUUGUGUGCGUAGUGACCGAUAGAGCUGGUCGUGGUAAGUUUAUCUGUCUCCAUUAUUUCCAUAUUUUUAUUUGAUGUAUUUUUAUUGUAGCUUUGUGAUUAUUUUUGUAUUUCAGAAUGCAUAUUGAUGUCGAUACUGGUAUGCAGUCUUAAGGGGGGUUUAUGUAAAGGGAAGUAAGUCAUGAACGUUAUUUUUACAAUAAUAGACUGGUAUGAAGCGAAUUUCAGUAAAUCAUUUUAGCUUGCGGCUUCAGAUUAAUUACUUUAAACGGAUAUUUCCUUAUUUUUUCAGCGUACGGAAAUACACAUUAUUGAAUAAUUUAUUAUUCAUAUUACAGAUUAGUUUAAAUUUUUAGCACAAUAAGAUCGAUAUUUACUUUUAUCUAAUACUCUUCAUGUAUGUCAGUUUUCUGAGAUGCUCAAUCCAACCUCUGCUAUAGGGGAGGGUGGGGGAGGGGGAGGUAAGUCAUGCAUUUUUGUUUUACAAUUUAUUGACUGGUAAGUAACGAAUUUCAGUUAUGUUAGUUUCAAAUAGAUUAUUUUCAACUGACAUUUUCAGUAUUUUAUUAAUCUUAUGAAAAAUAACAUUAUUUAAUCAUUCAAUAUAUAUUAAAGAUAAGUAUUAAAUGAUUUUUAUUUUCGAUUACAUUUGUAUUCUCUCAUUCCUCUAAAAAGAAGAUUUGACCGAUAAUUACACGAAUCAUUAUGUGAUUACAUUGGUGUGCCGAGUUGGGGUAGGGGGUAUAUGUAAAGGGAGGUAAGUCAUGAACGUUAUUUAUUUGACUUGUAUGAAAUAAAUUUCAGUAAAUCAUUUUAGCUUCUAUAUUAAAAAAGAAAUCGGCAUCUUAUGAACACUAUAUGCUUUAAUCAUAUUGUGAAGUUAAUCCCCCUCCCCCGGGUCAUCCCCACCCCAGUAGGGGGGUUAAGUUUACUAUAAUUUGUGUAGGGAAAAUACCUAUGGUUCGGGAUAUUUUGUGUAGUUUCAAAAGGAAAUAGUUAAAUUCAAACUUAGGUACAAGUAACUAUUAAGUGCGUGCAGUUUGACGCACCCCCGGGCACGUUUAACUGGAAUAAAAUGUUCUUCAUGGACAGGGAUGUCCUAAAGUGCUUAAUCAAAAAUGUGAACUUAAUUACCCGGGGUCGCCAAUCGUAAAGGGGACAGCCAAUCCGAAUCGAUGUCACGGUCGAGUUAUACUCACGUAGCGAAACAUUUCAUGCAGUUAACAAUUUGGCGCGAGAACUAUUGUGUGCGUAGUGACCGAUAGAGCUGGUCGUGACAGGAGCUAGUUGGAUGCAGAACUGUUGAUAGUCUGGAUGCCAUUGCAACACUGUGCGUGGAAUGUACAUCAUUUGACUGGAUGGAAAAACAUGCAAUAGGCCUGAUUGAUCUAAAACCUGUCGCCCUUCAAACUGAGCUACAUACCGUUAAAGUUCAGGAACGAAUUUCCUCCAAAUCGGAUUGGAUAUUGCAAGUCUAGUGUUUUGAACAUGAAAACUCUGUGUAUCCUGUAUUCCCGGUAUCUACAAAAUCUUCACUUGUGCACAAGCAGGCUGCUGAAAAAUAUCUGUAAAUUUGAACCUGUAACCUGGGACGAAGAAAUGUUUCAAUUGAUAUAUGGAGCUGUUCACCAUGAAUAAGUGACCUAAAGACAUUUGAUCCUAAAAUUACAAAAUUAUGUGGUUUUUUUAUUAUGAUCGUAUCAAAAUGUUGUUCAUUUGAUAAAGGGCUAUCUCUGUUGAUUGGGUGUCAAACCCAAUCAACAGAGAUUAAAGUAAACUUUAGGUUAUCUUUUGAAAAGAACUACUUGUAAGUUUUCUGAGUUAUGUGAUAACAUUGUUUUCAUUUCAUACGAGCUUUUAUGAAACUUUUCUCGAAA
rnacentral:lncRNA from 1 species